GAUAUCAGGAGGAACACCGAUGGCGAAGGCAGAUCUCUGGGCCGUAACUGACGCUGAGGAGCGAAAGGGUGGGGAGCAAACAGGCUUAGAUACCCUGGUAGUCCACCCCGUAAACGUUGGGAACUAGAUGUGGGGACCAUUCCACGGUCUCCGUGUCGCAGCUAACGCAUUAAGUUCCCCGCCUGGGGAGUACGGCCGCAAGGCUAAAACUCAAAGGAAUUGACGGGGGCCCGCACAAGCGGCGGAGCAUGCGGAUUAAUUCGAUGCAACGCGAAGAACCUUACCAAGGCUUGACAUAUACCGGAAACGGCCAGAGAUGGUCGCCCCGCAAGGUCGGUAUACAGGUGGUGCAUGGUUGUCGUCAGCUCGUGUCGUGAGAUGUUGGGUUAAGUCCCGCAACGAGCGCAACCCUCGUUCUAUGUUGCCAGCACGUAAUGGUGGGAACUCAUGGGAUACUGCCGGGGUCAACUCGGAGGAAGGUGGGGACGACGUCAAAUCAUCAUGCCCCUUAUGUCUUGGGCUUCACGCAUGCUACAAUGGCCAGUACAAAGGGCUGCAAUACCGUAAGGUGGAGCGAAUCCCAAAAAGCUGGUCCCAGUUCGGAUUGAGGUCUGCAACUCGACCUCAUGAAGUCGGAGUCGCUAGUAAUCGCAGAUCAGCAACGCUGCGGUGAAUACGUUCCCGGGCCUUGUACACACCGCCCGUCAAGUCAUGAAAGUCGGUAACACCCGAAGCCGGUGGCCUAACCCUUUAUUGGGAAGGAGCUGUCUAAGGUGGGAUCGGUAAUUAGGACUAAGUCG
rnacentral:rRNA from 1 species